UGAGCAAUCUGCCCUUCUCAUCGGAAUAAGCGUUGGAAACGACGUCUAAUGCCGAAUACGACCUCCUUUCGCAUGAUCGGAGGUGGAAAGCUCCGGCGGAGAAGGAUGAGCUCGCGGCCUAUCAGCUAGUUGGUGUGGGUAAUGGCCCACCAAGGCGACGACGGGUAGCCGGCCUGAGAGGGCGAUCGGCCACACUGGGACUGAGACACGGUCCAGACUCCUAGGAGG
rnacentral:rRNA from 1 species